rnacentral:lncRNA from 1 species
CCACCACUUGCCCCCGCCGCCACCUCCUCCGCCGCAGCCGCAUCCGCUCGUGCCAGAACCGCCUGUGAAUCCGUCGCCGCUCUACAAGCAGCGAUCAUGGUCGCCGGAUAUCUAUCGAGACGAGGCGUGGUUGAAGCGUAAAGGAAAAAGUAAGAACCGAAGGAGCAAGAGCGUCACCGAAGAGGAUCUCGACGAGCUUAAGGCCUGCAUCGAACUAGGCUUUGGCUUUGACUCCCCCGUUGCCGAUCAGCGAUUAUCCGAUACCUUACCGGCUCUCGGUCUUUACUACGCAGUGAAUAAGCAGUACAACGACACCGUUUCGAAGUCCACAACUUCGUCAAUAUCCGACUGCGAAUCUCCCUCUCCCACGGGCAGCCCUCACACUAUAUUCCACCCAAGUAUACCCCCUCGAUUUAUCUACUUGCUUCUUAUACUUUCUUUUGAUCGAUCUAAACUCGUUAUAAAUAUUGAUUUUGAAUUUUUGAAAAUUCAAAAUUGAUUUUUUUUUUAAAUUUUAUUUAAAUUGCGGGUUUUAAUUACGUGUUUAUGCUCGGAUGAUGAAGGUGAUAAUCCACAGACGGUGAAGACAAGGUUGAGACAAUGGGCGCAGGUGGUUGCGUGCUCGGUACGGCAAUCCUCCAGCGGAUAGGUGAUGUUUUGAUACCAAGGUUAAGUUUGAAAAGGGACUAGAAUUAUCAAUCAAUGUAACCAAACAUCGACUUUCAACUUUGUUUGAUAAUGAUUUUCUGCCACCCACCUACUUGUUUGGCUGGAUGAUGAUUGCCAAUUAGAGAAAGGAACCACCCCCUAGAAGCAACCAAAAAACAAAAAGGGAAAAAAAGCAAAAUUAAACGUUUUUGUUAGAUGGAAAACCAAUUGGGCACCCAGACGAUUGACCUUUUUUCUCCUUUCUCCUUUUUUUUUACUUCAAUUUGAAAGAUCUUUAGAUUUGCUGUCAUGGGUUUUGUUUCUCCUUCAAUUUAGUGUUUUAGAUUAUUCUGUGUUGAUAUAUGAAAAUUAGUUGUGAGACUGAAAAUUGUCAAAAGCUGUUUUUGCUUGAUUGAAUAGAUUGAUUGUUUUACUUGACAGAUUACAUAAAUAGGUAUGUGGGUGUAAAUUAAUUUCUUCUGUAAGAAUCCGUUGCCUUGGUGUAUACAGCUUGUUUUCUUUUGUAAUAUGACUUUAUUUUCUUUCGUGAAAGCUAAGUCAUGUGAGUGGAAAGUCAAUAUUCUAAUGAUAGCAGGUAGGGAAUUAGACUUUUUUUUUUGGUGGGGGGUUAUGAACGACGUCCCCUUUUAACAUAUUGUUCCUUGCUUUUGUAUACAUAUGAUGACUCUUGUUGUGGUGGAGUUUUAUAUUUUCAACCAAACGGCUGCAUUGUUUACUGCAAAAAGUUUGUCGAUUUGUCCAAAAUAAGAAAUUUGGGAAUUCUUAAUUUUUUUUGGGUGUGAUUCAUAUAUUUGUCUUGGUAGAUAUUGCUACAUAGUAUGAUGGCAUCAAUUGAUUAGGUGACAAUCAUUAGCAGAUUUUCUAGUUGAAGAUACAAUGUAAGAAAAAGAAGAAUUCCAGCUUUAACUGUUGUUAAUUCACUUUUGUGUACCAAAAUAUUUUGAACUUAUACGUGUUUUGAUAAUUUUUUGGUGGAUAUUAAAGAAUAUAUGAAUUUCUCAAAUUCUAUUUUCAUAUUUACCAUUGCUUCUUGAUGCAUGGAUGUUUAAACCUUGCAGGCUUUUAUGUACCAACUUUGCAACUCAUAUUCUUUUGAUACACAAAUCAUAUGAAGUACUAGCAAAAUGAAAAACUAUAGAAAAGAGAUAUAGGCCAACUCCAACUUACAACCUUUUGUAGAGGAAGAAACUUAUUGACUGUUAAAUUUAUUAGUAGUGUAAGAUAUUGGUAAAAUUUGAUUGUAAUUGGUUAGCAUUUCAUGUUAUUUUAGUCUAUUAUAUACAUUACUGUUAUGAGUUUAUGAUAGCUAAUAGUAAAAAUGACAACAAAUAAUAAUCCAAGCAGUAACAAAAUGUCACUAAAAUAUAAUAAAAAAUUAUGAAGUAUUGACAUAUUUAAUUCUAAAAAAAUCUAUGAAAUUAGAUACUGUCUGGGAAAAUUUACGACAACAUUUACUUUGGAGUUGUACAACUUGAUCUAUCUACUAAUUACGUACUUCAUUUGUUCUUGAAAUAUUAGCGAGUUACGGAUUUUUCUUCUUUACUUUAAGAUAUUUUGUUGUUGCAGAUUGGUGUAGGUUAAUUUGUCUUGUCAAAUUGUUGAUGAGCUUAUUGGCUUGUGUUUGUACAAUUAUGAUAUGUUGCGAGGCUAAUAAUGGCUGUGGGGAUGAGUUUGUCUGAAGUGUUGAUUCAAAAGAAGAUGAGCUUGUCUGAUAUGGGCAAAGGAAACCUUACAAGUAGAAGGGGAUAAUUGAAAUGUUGGAAAUUAAGUGGUAAAAAAAUGCAAUUGAUAUUUGAAUGCAGCUGGCUGAGCACCACCCACCAAGCCUGGUCUGGGUUAGUGCCAAAACAAUUUAUCAACAAAAGCACCACGUGUGUAGUCCUUUAAUGCGCAUGGCUGGACACUCUAGUCGACUGGUCGCCCCCUGUUAAUGAGCAUGGAUGAGACUCAAAUUGCCGUUCCCUUUUGGGCUAAUAAUUGUGACCCAGUAACUCAAUUUCUUCACUAAUGGCCCAAAUUCAGUUCUGCCCCAACCGCAAAUUAACUUUCAUAAACUCAACACUCUUAACAGCCAGCUUCUCUCAUUUUCUCUCUUAAUUGGCAGGAGAGAGCUGAAUCAAUGGUGGGAGACACUUCAAGUUGAUUUUAGUACAGAUUAAAGUAUAAGCAACUGAGAAAUAAAGAACAUGUAAAGAGUUUUCUUAGGGCAUAAUUAUGAAAAUUUUGCUUAGAUUUCAAGUAGUCUUAUGUUAUUUUGAUGGGAUCUGACUUAAAGAUCAAUACUUUAAUCUACAGUAAAAAAAAAAACAGUUCAAUCAUUACAUCCAUAAAAAUUAGAUUCCUAACCUCUGUAGGAACUAGGAAGAAAAAUGUAGAGAAAGGUAAUGGGUAGUUGUUUUUUAGAUAGCAACGUGGGUAUGGUUAAUAAUUAUGGAGCAAACAAGAGUAUCUCUCAGAUUUCACAAGACAAACCAGAACAAAAGAUUAUAUAUGUAAACGAGGAACAGGGCCAAUUAGUCUUAUGAUUACCUGCCUAAUUAUCUUUUCUCCUCGGAUCGUGCUUGACUUUAAUCAAUAUAUAUAUAUAUGUAAAGCCAAUAAUAUAUAUAUAAUAUCUAGUAAUCAUACCACAUAUAUAUAUGUUGACUAUAUGCGAGAAAAUUUUUUCAAAAUACCUUAAGUAAAUUGUUUAACUUAUUAAUUUAUAGCAUUAGCAACCUCAACUGAGGAAGUGAAGUGGCUAGUAGGCCGCUUUUGUCAAGAGUUGGCGACCGGCCUGGUCUUGAAGAUACUCGUAAUAUAUAUAUACAUAUGUAGUCUAUGAAUCAGUCAACAGUAAGUGUGAUUAUCAGAUCAGGCAAAAAUCAACUGUAAGUAAAGGAAUAUGUGUAUAUACAUACAUAGGCAUCUUCUCAUUCCGAUUCCGGAAAUCCGAACAAUGAUGUUGAAAAACUAUAUAUAUAUAUAUAUAUAUAUGAUAUCAUGUUCUAUAAAUUUUCUUUUUUUUUAAAAAAAAAAGGAAUUAACUUAAAUGAAUUGGUGGUUGAUCACUAACUUCUUCAGAAUCUCUCUCAACUACUAAUCAUUCAAUCUUAACUUCUGAAAAUUACAAGAAAAGGUUGAUGAUUUGUUUGACUUGAUUUUUAUAAGUUCUCUUCUUAUUUCUAAUUAAUAUGUACUUACUUAUAUUUUACACUAGUUGUUAUGAUUAACUUGCUAAUCAUGAACUUGACUGCAAUUCAUAUCAAUUUUACUUUCUUGAGAGAUAAAGAGGAAGAAUAAGUGAUGAUGGUUGAUUCUCAUGCAUAUCGUAUGUAUAUAUAUAUAUGAUACUAACUCAUGACCCAUUGAAUCAUGAGUCUGUCUCUAACCUUAUAACCUCAUCCAUUUGGUCUGUAAACUCUAGAAAAAUUAAUUGAGACUACAUUGAUUUUUCUAUGUGUUUACAUGAGAGUAAUUUCUUUCUUUUUCAGAAAGAUAAGAAAUAAUAAUAUUGGAAAUAAAUAUCUUCUACAUCCGGGAUGGGCUUGAUUUUCCAAGGGUACUGGUGAAUAUAUUUAUAUAUAUAUAUAUGUAUGUAUGUAUGUAUGUUUUAGUGGUGAAAAAGACGUGUGCAUGGGGGUUUGAAUAUUCAAGAGAACGUGGUGGAAGAUGAGCAAUGUUUGUUUGAAAGAAUGACAGAGCAGAAAACCAAAAGUCCAAAGACAGGAGCCAAAACUUCUGGUGCAGCCCCCGGUUUCUCUUCAAAACAGCUUUCGACGUAAUCAGUCUUAUCAAAAUAUUGUUUUAAACUAGUGUUUAUAUUCUUUUUACAAGAUGAUUCUCGUCUUUUCUUUAAGAUUUUUUAAUCUACUUUUUGACUGUUAAACGCAAAACUAACGUUAUUAUUAGCGACGGAAAUAAAAACUUUCCCACCAUCUCGAUCGUGGCCAGAAGCAAGAUUUCUCUUCCGGUUUGCAUCUCUUGUUUGUUUAAUUUUCGGCUUCAAUUAUUGAAGAACAGAAGUAUUAUUUUCUCAUCAAAUUAAGACUCAUGCGAAAUUUAAUAAAUCAUUGGGAGGAACAUUCAGACUCUAAUAAUUUCGCGGUGGAAUGAGACAAAAAUAGCUGAACAAACAAGACUUUCCAAAGGCAAGUUGUAAAUUGUGUGCUAUAUUAAGAUAAUAUCCAUGGCGGAUGCAAGACAAAAGCUAAAAGUUUUAAACUGAUAAGAACAGCUUUUUUUUUUUCAAUAUAGAAAAUAGACAAAACUAAGUUAAUCGGCUGGAAAUAUAUAUAAUAUAUAUAUAUAUAUAUAAAUUGGAUUGAAUGUAUGCAUAUACAUACACAUACGCAUGUAUUUACGUAGGUAAUAUCUUCUUGUGUUUCACGUGCAUGCCCACAUGAUUAGCAGCCAUAGUCUGCAUAAAUCCGGUGGCUGUUCACAUCGCAUGAAUCUUCUUCUGUAAAGUUCCAUUUAUUUAUUGGGUCAAUUUACUUGGGCUACCGCUUCCGAUGGAAUAACUUCAUACAAUUUGCUAAUAAGUUUAUAUUUAGUUAAUUUAAACGUAAUAUAAUAAUUAUUAUUUUUUUUUAAAAAAAUAAAAAAUUAAUUUCCCAGCAUAAAACUUAUAUUAUAUUAAUUUUUAUUUACAUCAAAUUAUAGAGUUGGGUUCAUUAUAAUCUCUGUACAAAAGCUAAUAAAUUAAAGAAAAUAUUAAAUUCAUACUAAUUUUUUAGAACAGAAUAUUUGAUUCUAGAAAUAUCAAAUUGGCAUAACAUUAUAUAUAUAUAUAUAUAUAUAUAUCCAAUAUGUAACUAACAAGGCCAGCUGUUUGUGCCAAUCAAAUUAAUUGAUUUUGUCCAUAUAUGUUAUAUUAUAUUGUAUGUAUGUGUAUAUAUAUGUUUGACUGUUGUCUGUAUAUACUACAUGUAUAUUGUGUUAAAGGGAAGACAAUUAUUUUCGUAUAUAUCUUUAACUUGACUAGCGGGCAGAGUUAGAAAAGAGUCUUUAGAAGAAAUGUACAUUAGAAUUUUAGAAAAAAAAAAAAGGUAAAUGGAUGUUGAUUUUGAUGGGAGCACAUAUUUGUGGAAAGUGAGAAACUUUCUUUGUUCUUCGAUUUAUAGCUUUCACACCAGCAAUUUUUACUAUAUUAUCAAAAUUCUAGACCAUUCUUUUUUUUUUUUUUCCACAUUCCUCCCCGUCAAAUUAAAAAAGUUUGAAUAGUAAAUUGUGGCGAAAGAACCGUCCCUCGCCAGGUGCCAAAACUUGAAGAUGAUCGUAAAUUUUGAGAAAUGUAAAAAGAGCAGUGUCGGAAAUAAAAUAUUAUUAAAAAAAAACGAGAAGGAGAAACAAAUCAUCCCUCUAGAAAUGAAAUAGAAGCUUCCCCCAAGAAACGACCAAGAAAUUCCCCCAAGGAAGAAAAAAUAGAAAAAAAAAAAAAAAAAAGAAAAAGAAAAAGAAGCGUGUUGUGUGUGCUUUCCGAAGGAGACCAAAGAUGGUGGGAUGAAUUUAUUAUAUUACUUUUUCUUUAUUUACAAAAAAAACUUUCUCAAAAUUUCUAGAACCCACGUCCUUUUCUCUUCCCCCUCCCCAUUUCCUACCUUUUUAUAUAAUCCCAAUACAUGAACCUGCGGAGGAAAAAAAUUUCAUCUUUUUCUUCAAACCAUAUUCGUUCAAAGUUAUGAUCUUGAUUCUCUAUGCCAGAGCCUUAGUCUUCUCCCCCCAGGCCAAUGGAAUCUGAUAGCUUCCAACUGCAACGCCCGACUUCUUCUACCGAUCUACCUCACGCCGCCACCACGACUACCACCCGUUGCUUCCUCUCUGGGUUUUAUUGCUGGGGCUGGGAAUUCUUAACGGCUCUCUUGCUUUUUAGUUAUCCUUACUAGAACUUGUAUUUUUCUCCUUUAAUUUCUCUCUUCUUUUUCUGGGUUUUAAGAAAAGUAGUAGUAGUAGUAGUAAGAAGGUGGUGGUAGGUGAGGAGGAAAUCGGGAAGAAAUGGCGCAGAGGUCUGUUCCGGCGCCGUUUUUGACGAAGACGUACCAGUUGGUGGAUGAUCCGAUCACCGACGAUGUUAUCUCCUGGAGUGAUACCGGCAAUACCUUCAUCGUCUGGAAAACUGCUGACUUCGCCAAAGAUUUGCUUCCUAAUUAUUUCAAGCACAAUAACUUCUCCAGCUUCGUUCGUCAACUCAACACCUAUGUAAGUCUCUCUCUCUCUCUCUCUCUCUCUCUCUCCUGUAACAAUAAUAAUAUAUUAAUAAGAAAGAGGAAGAAGAAGGCGUGUGUUUUGGAAGAUCGAAUGUUGAUUUGUUGUUUUUUAUUCUUACAAGAAUCUAUCCCCUUUCUUCUCUUCUGUCGAUUAUUACUAUGUCUACUUUUAGGAGAUGAUGGUGAUUUAGCUUGUGGAGUGAUGGGUGGGGUGACUUGAGAUUUAAGAUAAAUUUACUCUCCUGGGUUAAUUGCUUUUUACUGUCCUUCCCACCAAACAAUUUUAGGUCUCAAAGAAAUUUCUGCCGACUCCAUUUGGGAGAUCAACUACGUCAAGUCAAGUAGGUUGAUCCUUUGUUUAUACAGCUAAGCAACGCUGUACGGCUGGACCCGACCCAUUUUAAAAAACUUAGCAUCUCGAACCUAACCCCAAUCAUCUCUCACGACCCAUUUCCAAAUAGUUUUUAAUUAAUUACUUUCAAAAUAUUAAUUUAGACUUGCAAGUAUCAUAAUUUGCAAAAUUACGUGUACGGCCCAAAAUGGUGGGUUUUUAAAGAAUAUGUUUGGGCACCUUCUUGUAUUUGGAUUUUCAACGACGUGUACGAUUUUUUUAAAAAUGUGAUGGCAUAGUUCCGCGUUUGAAAGUUUUUGAAUACAACAUUUUCUUUUUUUAAUUUCAUUGACCAAAUCAAAGUAGACGUUUUCAUUAUUGUUCUUCAGAAUUUUGUAUGGAUAUUAAUUUAAUGCCCUAGAAUUUUUGGGGGGGUGAAAGUACUCUCGUCUCCUAAUAGCUACUAUUGUGUCGUUCAACAGGGAUUCCGAAAGAUUGUGCCCGACAAAUGGGAGUUUGCUAACGAGUACUUCCGCCGGGGACAGAAAGAGCUGCUCUCCGAGAUACGACGCCGUAAGACCUUCAGCCCGUCGCCCACUCCGGCUGGUGGAAAUAACGCGGGCGCCGGCCUUAUUUCUCCCUCCAACUCUGGCGAGGACCUGGGCUCCAGCUCCACGUCAUCUCCGGACUCCAAGAACCCAGGCUCGGUGGAGACGGCCGGCACGCCUCAAUUCGCCGACUUAUCGGACGAGAACGAGAAACUGAAGCGAGACAAUCAGAUGCUGAGCUCGGAGCUGGCACACGCCAAGAAGCAAUGCGACGAGCUGAUCGCUUUCCUGACGGAGUACGUGAAGGUUGGGCCCGACCAGAUCAAUCGCAUUAUGCGGCAAGGGAACUGCGGGUCCAUUUUUGAUGGUCCAGGGGGUGUGGCCCCCGGCGGGGAUGACGGCGACGGCGAAGGCGAAGGCUUGAAACUGUUCGGGGUGUGGGUCAAGGGAGAGAAACGAAAGAGGGACGACGAUGAGAACAUGGGUUUCAGUGGGACCCAGUUGAAAGGAACGAAGAAGGUUCAAUUCCAUACCCCGGUGCUGAAGAGCAGCAGGGUGUGCGAGUAACAAGCAAAAAAAGUGGUGUACGAUGGUGGGGAAGAAAAGAAAGAAGGUUCUUGAUUGGUAGGUGAUUGGAAUAAUAAAAGCAAGGAUGUUUUUGGAAGAUGAUGGAGAGAUCAAAAGGCAAACGGCUCCUCCCUCUAUCACCCUUUCAUUUAUUACGAGGUUGUUGUUCUUCUGCUGUUACUUCAUAGAUGAUGAUCCAUCAACUCUAUACCGUGUAAACUUUGCUUCUAAAUUUUUCUAUCAUCUGCUUAAUUUUUUUUUCUUUUAAAAAUUUACAUUCAAGUCUUUGUUUUCGGCGUUGAAUUAAAAUGUUUUGAAACAUCAACAAGCUUUGGUUGGUGACUGAAGACGACGGUUGUCGGCUCAUCUCGCGUCUACCGCCCCACCAGCCAAUGAACACGAUCGUCCAAACAUGUUUCCAUUAGCAAUCUUAAUUUACGAACCUCCUCAGUAAUAAAAUAAUUAAAAUUUAUAAACAAAUAACAACUAAACGACGAAUUAUAGAAAUACUAAUUUUUUCAACAAUUAUAUUCAUGUGAAAUUUAUUACAAAUUUUUUUAAAAUAUUAUAUUUUCAAAGUUAGUUGUCAACUCUAAUCCCAUGUACGUGAAGCUCCUGGUUAUUGACCGCACGACGUCAUCGUUAUUUUUUACGUAUAGUUUUAUGAUUAAUACGAAAGCUGCAAUAAAUAUUAAAUUAAUUUUAUAUAUUGUUUUGGAAGAAUUAAAUUGUUAUUUAACGUUAUUUUGUGCUUGUAUUUUUUUGUUGUCCCGUGUCUAAUUAAAUUUCUAAGUCAAUUUGGUAUUUUACCUAACAAAAAAAAAAAAAAAAAAAAAGACAUUAAACUUUCAAGAACUUUUUACAAUAUUUGACUUAAUUUUUGAAGUUAUUGUUAUUUAAAAUAAUAAUAAUAAUAAUAUAAUUUUUUUUGAGUAAAAAAAUAGAAAUUACAUUAUUUUUAAAACAUGGUAAAUGGUGUUUUUACUAUUAUUCUAGUUUUAGCAUGUCGUAUUAAUCUUUUUAGUGCCCAUUUAUGAUAUAUAAAUAAGUAUAUCAUAGCAUAAAAGUUUUAAAAUAAUUAGAAAAUGGUAGAACUGUUCUUUCUUAAAUUACAUUUUCUAUUUUUAAUAAAAGUUUUUAUAUUUAUAAUUAUAUAAAAAAUGUACAUAAAUAUCGAUACAUAAAUUUUACCUAAAAUUGAAAUUAUGCAUCUAAUUUUUUUUUUCAAAAAGAAAUUAAAAAUUAUGUUUUAGAUCAAAAUAAUUUUUGAUAAGUUUAAAAUUUUAUUAAAAUUUAAACUAUUAUUUUUAUUAUAUGUAUAUUUUUAUUUUAUUUUUAAAAAAACAUUCUUAUUUUAUCAAUUUAAUGAUAAAAAUACUUUGCAAAAAAAAAAAAAAGUUAGUAAAAAAUUUUCCCAAACAAGGCCUAUGUGUAAGAAAUAUUUGUGGCCUUGAUUCUCCGACACAUGGCUCUGGUUUCGUGCUGCUCUCCACACUCUCUACUCUCUUCGAUUCCUUAUUCCUCUGCAAUUCUCUCUUCAACCAAGCCCUCAAGAAUUCAAAUUACAGCGACCUCCCCGCCUUCAUCAUUUCCCAUGGAUCACCAUGACAAGAAGCGGAGAAAUCUGACGGACUUUCCGUACGUGUCGGCCGCGCACAGGAAUCUAAUGAUUAAUCUCAUAUCAACGGUGGAGAAUCGCCUUGGUUCCCACCUCCUUCCUUGUUCUCUCCCUCCAGAUGUACAGUACUUCGAGAACCAGACUCGGACUGCUCAAGCCUCUCUCCAGAUCCGACCCGGCCGUAAAUCUUCACUGGUAAUUUCCUAUUUAAACGUUAUUUUUUUUUGGAAAGGAAAAGAUCCAUUAGAUUGGACUGCUCAUUACAAUUAAACAAUUAACUUAGGAAUCGGUCAAUGUUAGUUGGUUUCAACCUAAAAGAUUCUCCUUAAUCCAUUUGACGAUUGCAGUCAUUAUUUGGUAUGCAAAAAUAGUUUUUGAUUUUUCCUGAUUGUAGAUAAGACCCAUUAUUUUUUUAUGCUACUAUCGUGUUGUUGGAUUGGACCUAUUGCUGAUGAUUUGGGUAUUUUUGGACGUUGUUUAUUCAGUCAUCUUGGUAUUUUAUUUGCUAAAAAUGUUGACUUUGUUACUGUCGAAAACGAUGAUGAGAGGUGAAAUAUUUUUCUUAAAAUUUAAAAAUAAAUUUUUUUUUAGGAGUUCGUCGCCCGUUCUAUUAGAAAGUUAAUCGGAUCAAACAAAAGAUUUAAGAGGUCGUCACCGAUUCAAGGUCUAAAAUCAUACGACAACUGAAGGUCUGAGGCAUCGUCUCGUGGUAUUAAUGAACAUAAAUUAUUUUCUCCAAGGAUGUAGGAAGCUCCAAAUAAUGAAAACUUGCAAGUACUUUUCAACCCGAUGUUUGUGUGAAAAGAAAAUACCACCCUUACAAAAACUUGCUUUAAGGAAGGAUGUGACUUUCCAUCUCUUUUCCAUCAGUUGCAAUUUUAGUUCUUAGAAUACCUGAUUGGCAUAGAAGAACGAGUUAGCAUUUUUAUAUUUAGCUGGUUCUGUAAAUAUUUUGGGCUUCUCUUGGAUGUAUAUAUAUGAAUGCAAUAAAUAUCCGCAUUUUUUGACUGGCACUUGAAAUGGGCUUUUAUUGUUAGUUCGGAGGAGCGAAUGGAGAAUGGAUGACAUUUUGCAUUUUGUUGAUCAGUUAAAUAUCCUUGAGGACAGAAUAAUUUCCAGGGGAUGGUACUGUCAACAACUAGGAACCAUUAUUUUGUCAUAAUGAUGGUUAAUUAGCUUUAAUAGUCUAGUGUUGAUUUAUAAGCAUUUCUAUAUUUUAGCAUAUGUUAGUGAAGUGAGAAGAGGAUUGGAAGUUUCUGCGGUAGCUUGAAUCAAUCAAUGAAUACAAUAUAUUGAAUUUCCCUAAAUCUCUCCACACUUCACUAUCCUUCACUUUUCUUCUUCUUCCCAAUCUAUCAAUUUCUACAUUCAAGCUCAUGAAUGGAAUCAUGAACUUGGGGUCCGGACACAUUUUAGAAGAUCUAAUGUAGAGCACUCUUCCAAGGUAGUUACUACAGUGCCUGAGAAGGGUCUGUCUGUUAGGUAUGGAUGAGGCUGUUGCCAUACAUACACAUUUGGCCCGUAACAGUUGGGAAAGUAUUGUUGGCAUGCCAUAUUAGAAUCAACUCUGAUGCUGACAUGAUACUGGACAAGGCUGUAGAGUAUAUUAAGACUUAUGGGAGAAUUUAAUCUUAUCAAAUUGAGCGCCUGUGGAUCUAACUAGAGAUUGUUUACGAGGAGGAUUCUUAGUUUUUGUUUUUAUUUUUAUUUUUAAAUUAGAGAUUGCUUGGACGUAAUACCCUUGUAUAGCUUCAGAUCCCCCUAUGACCAAACUUACUUAUCCAAAGGGGGGAAUGUUUACUCUACAAGGACAAAUAAAUAAGAACCAAGACUAGUCCUUCAAGACCUAACUUAACCAUUGAGCUUUUCCUUUUAAAGGGAAGUUAAUUCAUUGGUUGUAAAGUCAUGAUCUCUAGAUUAAUGCAUAAACAUUCAGAAAAAUUCGGAGUUUUAUUUUGUCUUUAAUGAUUGUAUAUCUCGAUAUUGAUUUCCUUGCAUCUUCGUGGUCAGAAAUCUGUAUAAUUUCUUUUUACAGUGGCACGGAAGUAAAUAUGUAUGUAAUACCAAAUUUAAGCAAACUAAUAAAAGAGAGACACAAACAGUUGCUGAAGAAGAAGAUACAUGAAAUUCUCUUAUUAAAGAAGAGAUGAAACUUUAUUAACAAAUCGAUGUGGAGAUUCACUAGGAAAAAUAACUGGAUCUGGGGGGCUGUUUCCAGUAAAAACUAAUAGCAAAGUUGUUAUCUGCAGUACAAGUUGAUGAUGAGAUAUGUCGUAGUCUAGUGUGGAAGGCGAGUUGAUAAUGAGAUGAAAUUGUAUAUUUCAGUUCAUGAACAGGCUUGCAUGUUGUUGGAUUCUGAUUUCUAGUUUGGAUGUCAUUGGACAUUGAACAUAACUUGUUAUAUUUCUCCUUGCACUUUGCAUAUCUAAAGAUAUACUUUUCUUCUCAGAUUGACCUCAUUAUGGGAAGUUGGAUACACUGUGAGCUACCAAGUGGAGCAUUGAACAUAACAAGCUUUUCAGCCUAUCUAACGGCUUUAACAGAUGCACCAAAUUUCUUAUUCGAGCUCAUUGUGAGUAGCCCGACAUCACUAGUUCUCAUUCUUGAUUUGUCUCCUCGAAAGGACCUUGUUCUUCAUCCAGACUACCUUCAGACUUUCUAUGAAGACACCCGCCUGGAUGCACAAAGACAAACACUGGAAAAACUCCCAGAGGUGCAACAAUACAUCUCAUCUUCUCUUUUCAUCCGCUGUGCAUGCUCCCCCACAGCCAUAAUGAUUAAAGUUGACGCCGGUGAACAUGGGUCAAACCGAAUGGAGGAAAUCAUAGAGGAUAAUAUUGCUGUCGCUGCAGAAGAAGUGCUAGGAAUCUGGCUGAAUCAAUGUGCUUGUGUAGAAAGAGAUAUAGGAGAAUCAGAAGGAGGUGAAUUGGAAACCAGAGAUAGGAUGUUUAGAAACAAGACCAUCGAGGUCGAUCUAGGCUCGAGCUUUCCACGGUUGUUUGGACCUGAUAUUGCAAACAGAGUUUUGGAAGCGAUGAGGAAUGCUUUUAGAGUGUAAUGUGGUAAAAAUUAAAAAUAUUUUACUGUAAUUUUAUAUUAAUUCAAUUUUUAUCAUUUUAUAUAAAUUUUUUUAAAUAUCUCUUCUUUAAAUUUAUGCCAAACAUAACAUUUUAACAUAUGUUAUGUAAAUCUAACAUUGCAAAUAAUUUCUCCUCUAGUUUAUGACUGGUAAUUUAAUUUAAGAAUACAAAUUUUUUCUGGUAAUUUAAUUAUUUGGGCCCGAAAUUGCGAAUCAGGUUUUGGAAUUUAGUUGCCACGCAAAGUCUGUAGCCACUGCCUCCAUCCCUUACAAAGGCACGAGUGUUCAAUUUUAGGAGCUGGCUCCCAUGUCUUCCUGUUCAUCCAAAAUCCCUGGUCAACCAGCCGAAUCCUCCAAGGAGAAGCUUAUGCCAUUGUUAGUGAAGGACGUCAGUUGAUGCCGAAUGACUUCGAAGCCGCUCUUGAAAGUCAAUGAUUAUUACAAUAUAAUUUGUUUUAUCUCUUACGUACUGCAUUUUAAGAAAUUUAUUUUUGAAAAUUUAAUAAUAUUCACCAAAACUAUUAUACAUUAGAAUUACCUCAAAAAAUUUUGACCAGUGACGUCAUAAAAAAUUAAAAGGAAACCAAAGUAUUGACUUGUCAGCUCCUCCUGUCUCUUUCGACCUCACGACUCGCGUUUAUUUUACAAUCUUGACCUUGUGACGUGUCCGGCUACCAGCUGUACUACGUAAUCAUAUCCACCUGGCACCCUCAGACAUUCUAAGAUGAACCGUACUUGGACGAUAAGAAUUGAAGGACGAUCUACGUGGACAUGGGCCCCACUUUCGAGCGUUGCACUUCCGUAACCGCCAAAUUUGAGUCUCGUCUUGACCGCGAGAUGGGAUUGUAGCCGUCGGAUUGUAACCGUCAAAGAUCCCCUCCGGUCCAACGCCCGUCGGAAAGUCGGUGAACUGUUCAUCAUUUUCCAGAAAAAGUGUUUUGACGGCGAAAUCAUUCCUUCCACUCGCAUUUCCUUUCAAAAAUUAAAAAUGUAAAUAAUUUUUUUAAUGUAGUUUUGGAUCUUGUAUUUUUAUAUUUAGGUAAUUAUGUGUGUAUAUAUAAUUUAAGGAUUGUUUAGUUAAUUGAUGGGUAUUCAAAAUUGAUGAAUGAAUUUCGAAAAUGCAGUAACGUAGGGUUCAGUGGUCCGUUUUGGGUGCAGGCUAAGAGACAGAGAGAUAUAGCUGUUCAAUUGUGAAAGGCAAAUGAUGUGUCGAAGUUUGAGGAGGUACACUUGAUGAAAUGCCAAAUUUUCUGACUCAAACUUCACAAAUGUAAUGGUUUUGGGACAUGUAACCCCCGCCUCUACAACACCUGGGCUACUAAAGGUGGCAGAUUUUUGUACGUCUUCUCUUCUUUUUCGCCUUCACUAAAUUAACGUCAUGGUAACUGUAAAUUAAUAGAUUGGUUAAUUUCAACUUCAAGUACGUAUAUAUAUAUAUAUAUAUAUACCACCAUAUAUAUGCGUCGUCUGUAUAAACAAUAGAGUCUCUCUAGUUAGUUCUGUGCUUGCCCUGGAAAUAAGAGUGAAAAUGGAGAUUGUAGUUAUCACCCUUCUCAUGCUUCUUUUUCCAUUAAUACUACUGACGAGCAUUGUAGUAGGAAAAUCAGAGAAGAAGAGGAUGAAAAACUUGCCACCAGGUUCAAUGGGUUGGCCAUACAUUGGAGAAUCUCUAAAACUUUACUCUCAAAACCCAGAUGUCUUUUUUCAGUCUAGGCUACAAAGGUUUAUUAAUUAAUUAAUAUUAAGUUGCAUUUAAUUCAUUCAUUUUUUUUUUUUUGUAUUUGGGUAUUAUUAAUUUAUUAAUGGUGGUUAAUUAAUUUUUAGGUAUGGUGAGAUAUUCAAGACUCAUUUACUAGGUUGUCCUUGUGUGAUGGUGGCAAGUCCUGAGGCUGUAAAAUUUGUGUUGGUGACACAGUCAAGAUUGUUCAAGCCAACUUACCCUCCAUCGAAGGAGAAGCUGAUCGGAUCGUCCGCCAUUUUCUUCCAGCAAGCUGGUGCUUAUCAUACUCGAAUCAGAAAAUUAGUUCAAGCUUCCCUCAAUCUCGACAUUAUCCGCACCUUGAUUCCUGACAUUGAAGCUAUUGCUCUACUUGCUUUGAACUCAUGCUGUGCUGGUGGCCGAGUCAUUAACACCUUCCGUCAGAUGAAGAAGGUACGUAUGCCUUUAAUUAAUAUAUAUAUAUAUAUGUAUACUUUUCAUCUCGCUCUAUAGUAUUUAAGCAUGAACAAAGACAAAAUGUCCUCAUGGGAUAUUUACAUUUUAGUUUCAUCAAGUUCAUUAUUUACUACUUUCUCUAAUCUCUUUGAUUCAUAUAUGUUUUUUUUAGCUUUUUUUAUUAAAUUGAUUAAUGACUCAAAUAUACACUGUUCAAUUUAAGCAAAAAAAAUUAUAAAACCAUACUAGUAAAUACUCAUAUCUAUAGAAUUUUUAUUUCGCACGUAUUUAAUUUUGGCGCGUAAAUUUUAAAUUUAUUUUUUAAAUAUUAUGAUGUUCGAAUGAUUAAUUAAUUUAUUUGUUUAUUAAAGAUUGUAAUUACAAUAUCUGUAACAAAUUAAUUAAGUAGGUAAAUAGUAAAUUAACAUUUUCCAUAUUGAACUUGGAAGUUUAGGUUGAACCAAAUUUAAGAAAAGGAGCUAAUUAAGUCGGGAUCCUACAUAUCUGCAGUUUACAUUUGAUGUAGCUACUUUGAUCAUAUUUGGUCAGCUGGAGACUUCCUACAAAGCUAUGCUGGAGAAGAACUACCGCACACUGGACAAGGGUUACAAUUCUUUCCCUAUAAAUCUCCCUGGAACUCCAUACAAGAAAUCACUCUUGGUAAUUAAUCAGCCUAAUACUUCCAUUAAUGAUAAUUUAUUAUUUUAGUUAGCAAACAAAUUAGUAAUUAACUCUUUGUUUCUCUAUCUCUCUUUGAAAAAAUAUAUAUACGAUUAAGGCAAGGAAAAGGAUAGGGCAAAUUCUGAGAGAGAUCAUAAGGAGCAGGAAAUUAGAGGAGAGAGGGCUUCUGGGCAGCCUCAUGAAGUUCGAAUGUGAAAAUGGUGAGCGACUGAGUGAUGAUGAAAUAGGAGAUAACGUCAUUGGGGUGCUCUUUGCAGCUCAGGACACCACUGCCAGUGUCUUGACAUGGAUUCUCAAGUACAUUCAUGAUGAUUCAAACCUUUUGGAGUCUAUCAAGGUUAAUUAGAACUACUAUAUAUAUAUAUAUAUAUCAGCUGAUAUUACGUUUAAGCUAAUUUCUCGGCCAUUUCAGGCAGAGCAGAAGGCGUUUUAUGAAUCAAAUGAUGGAGGAAAACGGCCAUUAACCUGGACUCAAGCAAGAAAUAUGCCUCUAACUAGUCGGGUAUUAAUAAUACAAAUGAUCUCACUCAAGAAUCAUAAUAGUAGACACAGUAACAUAUAUAUAUAUAUAUAUAUAUGUAGAUGUGGGCAUUUUAGAGGAAAAAGGGAGGAAAGAUUGAUGUAUCUAACCUUGCUAUACUUGCACUAAUGGUUCAGGUGAUAAUGGAGAGUUUGAGGAUGGCAAGCAUAAUAUCUUUCACUUUCCGUGAAGCGGUUCAGGAUGUUGAAUACAAAGGUAAAAUAGUUACGUACUACAUUAAUUUUUAUUUAUUUUUUUAUUAAAUUAUAUAUAUAUAUAUAUAUAUAUAUGGAUUAUUAAAGAAUUAGAAUUUAUCAAAAGUUUUAAUUACUUACAAACACAGCCUACUGGAGCGGUGAAUCAUCUAAUUAAGGAUAAAAUGUAUACAUAUAACUAAUGGCAGGUUUCUUAAUUCCAAAAGGAUGGAAGGUACUUCCUUUAUUUCGAAACCUGCACCAUGAUCCGGAUUUCUUCACCCAUCCAAAUAUAUUUGAUCCUUCAAGAUUUGAGGUAAUUAAGGGACAUUUUAGCUAAUUAUUUUAAAAAAUUAAUUAAUUAUUAAGAUCGGAGUGAUUUCAUGAAUGAAGGUUGGACUAAAAGCCAGUACGUAUAUGCCAUUCGGCACUGGUGUUCAUGCAUGUCCUGGAAAUGAAGUCGCAAAGCUUGAGAUGCUAAUUCUAAUUCACCAUCUGGUCAACAAGUUCAGGUUUACUCAUCUGACAGUUUUCUAUGCUUGUAUCACACAUACAUAUAGAUAUAUAUAUGUAUAUAUAGUUUACACUCUCACUCACAUAUAGAGUGAAUUAUGGGGUUUACACAUGCAGGUGGGAAGUGGUGGGAUCCGGGAAUCGGGUUGAGUACGCCCCGUUUCCAAUGCCCAAAGGCGGACUCCCUGCAAGGUUUUGGAAAGACGAAUCCUGCAGUCAGGGCUGACAAGACAUGGGUACAUGGCUUUCUCAUCUCAGUCUCAAUCAACUCCUCCUUAAUCCGAGUCGGGAUGGAAGAUGUGCUAAUUUCUGUUUCGCUUCGUUGUUGCAGUAACUUUCGUUUCCCCUCAAUGUCCAGAAACAUUAAUAAAAAGGUGAUCCUUGAUUUCUGAGAGUUUUUGCUUUCCAAGAAUGUUCACUGCUCUCUCUCUCUCUCUAUAUAUAUAUAUAUAUAUACACACAUAUAAAUCUACAUAUAUAUAUAUAUGGAUUAAAUUUUAACUCACUAAAUUCGAUUUAAACUCACUAAAUUUUAAUAAAAACAAUAAAAACACAAUUUAAUUCGAAUUCGCAACCUCUUAAAAAAAGAAAGAAACUUGACUAACAAUUUUUAUACAUCCUUUUCAUAAAGAAAAUUUUAGAUUGUAGUAAAUUGUAUAAGCUAUGUCUAAUUUGUUUCAAUACAAUAUUUUAGAGUAUAUAUUUCUACAAAAUUAUAAUUCAUAAAUUAUUUAGUUUGCUAACUAUAUAUAUAUAUGUAUAUAUAUAUAUAUAGCUACUCAUAAAGACAAACCACAAUUAAAAUCGCCUUAACUACAUAAUAUGUUUCCUUAAACUACUCUGAACCAAAUGCAAGUUUAAUAAAGUGUAGUUUUUGGUAAAACUUGGUACUUUUCUACUAUAAUUAGGUUUAUUUAUAAUCAUAACAAAAUCAGAUUGACGUAUUAAAAGAUUAUGAACUUAUGAAAUAAUCUCUUUACUUUUUAAUUGAUAAACCCACUUAUUAAAAGUUGUAAAAUUAAUUAUCUGUCGUAUCUAGUCAUUAAAGUAGCAUGUCAGACUACAAUUGGAUAACUCCAUCACGGCUUGCUUCAUUGUCUUUGUUUAUGGCUAAAAUGGUCCGAAACACAAUGAAUGAGACAAGAUUUUGUUCACUAAAACUUAUUUAUACUGUUACAUGAAUUACUGUUAAAACAACAAAAUCUCGUGGUUCUAGUUUUAAGAUUUGGUUCUAUAUCACAUGUAUAAGGAUUUUUAAAGAAUAAAAAUUUGUCAAAAUAUAAAAAUAAAAUCAAACUUCAAAGGUCUUAUAUGAUCAAGAAUUUGCUUGGCAAAGCUGAGUAGAAUUGUAUAUGGUGAAGCUGCAAAGCUGCAAAGUUGAAGACGAGACUCAAUAUGUCGCUGGCUCGUUACUAAACGGGUGGAUGAGAAUGAAUCAAGAUACUGAGUAUGAAAACAUAGAGAAUAAAAUGUUACCAAAAAUUUCAAUUUAACUAAAACCUUAUUGUAGUCUGCAAUCUAAAUAUUUAGUUUUGUUUUUCUGAAAAAUCACAUUAUUUUCUUUUCUUAAAUUUGUUAAGAAGCUUUUGGAAAAGUCUAGAGAGGCCCAAGCAAAACUGGGCCACUAUAAAGGGCCUCUAAAUGCCGAACCGGUCGACAAUUGUGAGAACAAAAAUAAAUUUUCCGGAAAGGCAUUUCCCAGCCUUUUCUCUUCUGCGUUGUGAGGACUUCUUGAAUCUGCCAUCUUCAUCAAGGACUUUAUCAAGCUCCUAACGAGUUUUCGAGUGGAGAAAUGGUGCGUUUAGGUUCUCAAUUACUUCAUUUUUUUAGUUUUUUUUUUUCCGUUAAACUUAGUUAUGUGUUUCUGUAUGUAUCUUCAAUUCAACGCAUUAGAUUGCUUCAUUACAGUUUGUGAUCUGGUAUUGAUAUUUGAAUAAUUGGGUGUUAUUCCUGUUUUUUUUUUUUUUUUUUUUAAUAAAAAAUAUAAAAACUCUAUUAUCUUUUUCUGGCGUGACAAUUUGAUGUUUAACGUUUGAAUUGAGUAUAAAUUAGGAAUUUCUGAGGCGAAAAUGUAAAUCCGGUUUAGGUUUUUCAGGUUUCAUCUAAGUUGAAGAUGAAAUAUGGCUUGAACAAAUUUCUCGGCGACACUAUUAAGGGCUAUACUGUUGUGCUCUGUGAAGUAUAUCAUGUUUAGCUAAAUUACUUGCGGAUGAUCGGAUGAAUAUAAUUCAUAUUUAUAUGUGGUGAUUGUAAUUUUGAAUAUUUAUUUUUUGAAGAACAUUUUUAUCAUCUUCGUUUGUUUAUCAUCAAUUUUAGAUAUCUUCUUUUACAAUGCCAAUAAAUAUAUGAAUAAUUUCUUUUUAAAUGUUUGUUUGAGCUAUUCUCCACAUGUUACUGCUUUGUAAUGCAUUUGCAACCAUGCCAAUAGGCAAGUCUUUAUAGAGGACAAUCCAGGAAGGAAAAACCUCGGGGACGUCAUCAUGGAUUAACUCAACAGAAGAGGCAGGAGAUUAAAGAAGCAUUUGACCUAUUUGACACUGAUCAGUCAGGUACUUAAUCAUAAACAUCGCAUAUUUUUCACCUUCUGGGUUUAAUUGUUUCUUAAUUUGUUGGUCUAAAUAUGCUGUGCAGGCACUAUCGAUGCCAAAGAGCUGAAUGUUGCCAUGAGGUAUGAAUGUAUGUAACAUGUGCUAAUGGUUUCUUUUGGGGAUCGUUCACUUAUUGAACUAAAAUAUUCUUUUUACAGGGCCCUUGGAUUUGAGAUGACCGAGGAGGUAACUUCUUUAUUUAGUAGAUUUUUUUGGUGAACAUUUUUGCAACCACAUUUUAGAAAGCUGGAUUUUCCAGAAUGGUCUAAGUAUGGAUAAUUUCUGGGUAUCUUCAAGUGGUUAAGAAUUGUAUAUCUUUUCUCUCAAUGACCAAUCUUCUGGCAUGGCUAAUAUAUAACUCUUCGGUGUGCCUUUCAGCAAAUUAAUCAAAUGAUUGCAGAUGUGGACAAAGAUGGCAGUGGUGCAAUCGAUUUUGAUGAAUUUGUGCAUAUGAUGACUGCCAAGAUUGGCGAGAGAAACACUAAUGAUGAACUUACAAAGGCAUUCCAAAUCAUUGACCAAGAUAAAAAUGUAAAGCUUCAUUUAUUGAGACCCUGAUCUUGUUACUUCAUGCACGCGAUUGACUUUUGUUUGCAAUCAGGGGAAGAUAUCUGCUGAUGACAUAAAGUGCGUAGCAAAGGAGUUGGGAGAAAACUUCACUGAUCGUGAGAUUAACGACAUGAUUGACGAAGCAGAUCGUGACAGUGAGUUAACCUACUUUUCUGUUUGUAGUGCUCUUAAUGAUGUUUUGCCUUUUAAAAUAAUCUUCCAUUUGUUAUUCCAUUUAGUUUUCUGCAAUUAUAUAUUUCCUAUAUAGGUCAAGCCUCACACGUAUAACUCAAUCUCUGCUAGCUUCCCCUCUUCCUACCUAUAUCCCUUCCACGAAAGCCUCCCACAUUGUUGUCUCUACCACAACCACCUCCUCUUCAAGUCUCUGCCAUCCUUAAAUCUCGGUCAGCUAAUGCUUCCCCUCCUCUCCUCUGUGAAGAAUCAUGAAUUUGUUACGAUCACACUAGAUUGGGUUUCUUUUUUUGAACUUCUCCUUUUCAAAGAGCCCCCAAUUUUUUGUCCAUACCCAAACAAUAUCCACCACAAAAACCUGGAAGAAAUCUCUCUCUCCCUCUCUCUCUCUUUCUUCCCCCCCUUCAUUGUCUCUGUUUAUAUUUUUGUACGUUCUAAAAGCUCAUGAUCUGUCUCUAUUGCUCCACUACCAAUAACAAACUAUCCUAGUAGAUUCCUCCAAGCAUCGUGCAUUCUGUCAUCAUGCCAUCCUCUGUUUCUGAGCUUCAUAAACUGGUGCAGUAGAAGUCUUAUUUGAGAAGAUGAAACAUAGAUCACUUAAGUCUCAUAAUAAAAGCUAAAACUUUAAAGAAUAAUGCUGAAUUGUAUUAAGGUAUGUCUAAAAGCUGUUACAAAUAAGUCAUUAUAUAGGGUUUGCAACAAGAAACCAACUAGGAAUAAGAAAUCCUUGGAAAGUAGGAAACUAACUAGAAAUAGGGAAUCCUGAUGAAACUAGGAAAUUAAAUAAUAAAUCUUAGACUUGAACUAGGAAAAGACUAGGAAACUAAAAAUAGAUGUGAGAACACAAGUACAUUUAUGAAAAAUUGAGAGCGACAGAAGAGGGCUAGCAGAGAACAGAAAGGGGGGGUUGGGAGCAAUAUCUUGUUUAGCAGUCAAGUACUAUAUUCUAACCCAGGUAUGCAUACCCCAAUAUGAACCAUACUUUGGUUUUGGCCUUUUUGCCUUUUUUCCCUCAAUUUCUAAGUUUAGCAGCCCAUUACCAUGAGCUUUUACAGUUUAGCAUUUAUGUCCGAAAUUUGCUCAGCACCACUUGAAGUAGGUAAGCAUAUGUGGACCAUACUUUCCCCCUGUAACGAGCCACUGCAGGUGAAUGGACUCUAUAACCGCCAAUAUACUUCCUGAUCAGAAGCAGAAGCACUUAGCAUUGAGAUGUCUAGGAAAUUUUGUGAGUCCCCAUCAGUAACUUCAGAUGAGGUCCUGGAAUAGGUAGUUCCAAGAUCAUCACCAUAUUGCCUGUCAUAUGAUUGCUUUCCAUAAACUUCUUCUAGGGGAAUACAUAAUCUAAAACAUAAAAUCAAGAAUUUAAGCGUGUAAGAAAGAGGUUAGGACAACACUAGAUGGGGGUGCACUCUGGGGACUUGGUUGUUGUCCUCGAGCGAUGAGGUUGAAAGAAGAGACAGGUAUUUGUAGCGAUGAAGCAGAGGAGAAGCAGCAAGGUAGAGAAGAAGAGUUUUGUUGAGAGGAGAAAGUGACCAAUGAGGAAGGGCGUUUGAAUCUUGACAGAAGCUGGAGACGGAUCCCUUGCCAUCUUGGGGAGGCAGAGACAAAUGAAAGGAGAGAUCUUAGGGGUUCUGUGGCUGGAGAUGCUAGCACAGAAAGGCAGUUGCGGAGGGAGAAGGGGUCUUCUAGGAGUUCCGUGGAAGGGGCUAGAAGAGCAGGAAGGAGAAAUUUGAGUGAAAGGAGGGAGAACAUCUGAUGAAGGGAAACAAAUGAACUUUUGAAUGUUGAGAAAUGAUGAGCUGAAGUAUAUAUUCCAUUGUCUCUAAAUACGGAAGAGAAGAAGGAAUCGGUAAAAUUACCAAAUUCGCCUUUCUUUUAAUCAUUCUAAUAGGAGUUAGAGCUUAAAUGUGUAUGCUGUUAACAGGAGAAGGUCUUUCAGAUGUUACAAGAGUAUGAGGUUUAAAUUGACUAAAUAGAAAUUAUGUAGUGGAAGAUUGAGACAAAGUUAUAUAUAGGAAGUUGAGACAGUGGUUAAACCAUGGGUUGUUUGUUAAUUCUGCUAUAAAUUAGGAUAUGUAUUUUUUUACUCAAUAUACUCGGUGUGCUUUUUCUGUUUUAUUACAUUCUUCUUUACCAUGUAGAAUAAAAUAGUAUUAAUUUUCUCUUUUAUUGUUUUUUGGGUGUUGAUAGAAGUUACCUGCAAAACUUAGAACAAGAACAAAAUUGUUAAAAUGGUUUCAGACAGUUUUCUCACAGGAGAAAAUAUACGGGAAUGUUGAACAAUUUGUUAAUGUUCGCAGUACUUGUAUCUUUGAGUUGCGAAUUAGUAAGUUUAUUUUCUGAUUUGGGUGUGCAUGCCAUUUGAAUUGUUCAGAUGAUGGAGAAGUUAAUAUUGACGAGUUCAUGAGGAUGAUGAAAAGAACAACAUUUGGCUACUAGAAGUUAAUACAAUUUUACUUGUGGUGAAAGAUCUGUUCAGCUGAUGCUUGGGUAUGGUGAACUUUGUACAACAAAUAAAAAAAAGUCUUGACUCUUUACGAUUUGGCUAGAUUUUCAGACGCAUAUAUGUAUUUAUAUGAGAAGUAAUACUGAGUUGUUCUCAUAUUUUGUCUGACUUGGCUGUGUGGGGGGAUAUAUUAUUAGUUAUACUGCUAUGCUGUUGGUGUACUCAUAAAAGGAGAAAAGCAAGUGUAAUUUUUUUCUUUUGUGGUUUAUUUCCCAAUUGAUUUACGUUAACCAUGGGAUUUCACUAUUAAACUUGUUGAAGGCGCAACAAAUUGCUUACAAUUGGAUUCUUGCUAUAUAUAUAUAUAUAUAUAUAUUAAAGAAUAAAAUUAUAGCUUUCUGUGUGUUUUAUUAGAUAUAAAGAAUUCUCCUCACUUUUAAAAAUUAAACACGUUGCCGUAUUUUUAAAUAAAAAUUAGUUAACUAUUAUAUUAUUUGGAAGACAUCAAAAUGCAAUUUUUAUUUUAAAGAAAAUCUCAACUUUACUCUUUAAUUUUCUUGCAAUGUUAAUAACAAAUACUAAAAUGAUAUAUUUAUUGUAUUCUCAUGAAAACUGAAUAUUUUAGUGUAAACUAAUUCUUCUAAACGAUACAAGAUAUGCAUAUAUACUUUUUCUUAUAAAAUAAUAUAAUAUAAUAUAUAAUUUAUUAAAAGUAAUAAAUCUUGAUUUUAUAUAUGAGAAACUGUGAGUGGGCCCUGAAUAAGCUGGACUCGUUCUUGAGCCGUUGAAAAUGAUUAUUUGUCCUUGCCCACGUGGACGUGUUAGAAAUUUGUCUUCUACCUGCCGUCCAAUUUGAAGUCACUGUAAAUAAUUUUGUUAAAUAAAUUUUAUAUAAUUUUACUGAUACAAACUAUAAAAUUUAGAGUUAAAAAAAAAAAAAAAAAAAAAAAAUUUAAUUGACCAAUUUUAUUAAAAAUAUAAUACAAAAUAAAUAAUUUUAUAAAUUUACUGAAGAAAAUGUUUAAUAAUUAAUAUAGGGAGUGAGAGAAAUUUGAACAAAUAUUAUUUGUGGCAGUAGAAGCCAAAAAACAAACAAUCGGCUGUAGAGAAAGGUCGCGGCCGCGUCCGUGCUGCUGACAUAACCUUCCAUCUCAUAUUCGUCCGAGUGAAAUAUGAACGAUGAAAAUAGCGUGCUGUGUACAGCUGGCAGACACGUGGAUCUCCUCCCUCCGUUAGGUAUAUAAACCUCAUCCCCAUCCUUCCACCUUCAUCGCUGAAAAUGGCUCAUUGCCCUAAACCUGGCCCCGAACGAAAGCGUAACCGGCUACCCACCCCCUCUGCAACUCGUCAACUUACCAGAGACACAGAGAACCAGAUUAUUGUCUCCGCUCUCCUCCACGUCAUCAGUGGCAAUGCUACUCAUGACUCCUCCAUGCAACGCGAUCCCCCUGACGAUAUCGUUGCUCUUCCCUUAGACGCUUCGACCAGCUUUGAUCCCGUGCUCCAUACUGCGGGUACUGACUCCUGCCAGCAGGAGGAGGAAGAUCAGAAGAAGAAGUACAGAGGAGUAAGGCACAGACCUUGGGGUAAAUGGGCAGCCGAGACAAGAGACCCACGACGGGGACAACGCGUCUGGCUCGGUACUUUUGAUACGCCGGAGGAGGCCGCCAGAGCUUAUGACAGGGCCGCCAUUGAGUUCCGCGGAUUUAAAGCCAAGAUCAAUUUCCCAUUCGCCGAUUACUCGCAGGAGCAACAACUCCCUGCUCGGGCUGAGCCUGAGCUUCAGAGGGCAGUGAGCGUUGAGGCUGCGGGAACGAGAGAGGGGGAGAGCAGUAGCCGUCAGGGUGUUAAGGAUGAAGAUGAUGAUUUUGGGCUAGGUGCCAUAUUCUCCGAGGAAGUAAUCAGAAAGUUGAUGGAGGAGACGGGCCAGUGAAUUCAACAACAACUCAAAGUCUCAAAAGUACAUUAUUAAAAUUAAAUACAGUAAAAUUAAUCUAGCAGAGUCUGGUAGUUUGGGUGAAUUCCUUUUAGAAAAAUUAUUUUGUUAUUAAGAUAAUAAGUGUUAGCGAUUUAUUCAGUUCAUUCUUUAUUGGUGAUAACUUAUUUCCUAAAAAUUAAGAAUUUUUUUUUUAUUUUUUAAAAUUAAUUUUAAUCAAUAGCAAUAAUACUCAUAAGCAUUUUCAUAUAAGAAUAAUUGUGUUGGCCUUGGUAUAAUUUUGUAUUAAUUCAAAUAUUUAUCUUUUUUUUUUUUUUUUUUUUUUUUGUAAGUAAAAAUUUAUGUAGAGCACGAGAUAGGAGUACUUCCAUGUUUCAGCAUGUAUUUUUUUUCCCGAGUUUAUAGAUCCUUAAAAAUUAUAUUAUGUCUUUAAAAAAUAUUUUGUCUGACAAUUUAUAACAGAUAUGUUUAAUAAAAAAUACAAAUAAAUUAUAUCCGCCUAUACAAUAUUUAACAACUAAUAACCUCGGUGACUCGUGUAAGCUUCAAAUACAACCAACCAGACCCUGCAAGGCUUGCAAGCUGCAAUUAUAUGCAGAUUCCAUCAACAUUCAUGGCCUCAGGUUAGACCCUUGUUACCAUUUUCUUCCACAGUUAACCUAAUCUACAGUUCAAAAAUAAAGAUUUAAUUCGUAGGUCAUUCAAACUUUUUACUCGCCAAAUAGGUGAGACGAGAAAACAGUGGAAUUGCUUCUUACAGACUAUAAAGAAAAUAUUUGGAAAAGGGAAAUGAAAUGACAAUGGGAAUCAAUAACACUCCCCAAAGCCCAUAUAUAAUUACCAAAUGGAGGAAAAAAUAUUUGAUGGGAUGAGUAAUGAACCUUACUACAAUAAUCCCAGGGAUCAGCUAUUUGGUUUGCAGCUGAGAACAUACCAAAACAAAAUGAUUAAACGGAGGACAACCGAUCAUUACCGAACACUCUGAAAAAGAACAAAAAAGCAGUAUCUACCAGCCCAGCUAAUCACAGUAAGCCCCAUUCCUUGUGAAAAACUCCAACUGAAAGACCCAAAACCACUACAAUCAACCAGCUUCGCAAGUUCCACUACGAAAAUCACCUUAACCUACUUUUAACGAAUAAUAAUGGUAAAUAUCCAAAACUAUGAGACUCACCACUCACUGUUAUUUCGACGGAUGCUCUCUCAAAAAUAGGAAGCAGAUUCAUUCUGAUGAACUACUCUUUGAUCCUUUCUUCACAUGUAGUCCAAGAAAGAAAUUUUCUUACAAUCACGACGGAGUCGAUGUAGCAGUUGAAGUCUGUUUAGCCACAUAAAUCUGCUUCAUCUUCAUAGCUGGAAAACUCUUCUCCCCACCCAUGGACGGAUUCCUGCCUUGGAAUCCUGUUCUCCGAUAAGGCCAUUCUCCCCCGGAACUACUCUUCUGUGAUGCCCCACCAGCUCUCUGAUGAUUAUACCCUGUUGAAUUGCUAUAUUGGUGUAUAGAUAUAUUCUUCUGCUGAGCCUGAGAUUUAAAAGUGGAACCUGUGUGUUGGCCAGUACUGUUACCACUGCCGUUGUGAGCAGCGACAUCAGUCUUGCUAGCAUUGACGAGUGCGCUUAAGGAAGAGUUCUUAGGAACAACACCUUGUCCUGGCAGCCCAGAAUUUGUGGAGCUUGAAGGGUCUACCAACCCUAGUUCAUCAGGCAACUGGGUGACAGUGGCAUCAGUCACCAGUGGAAAAUUCCUGCUGCUUUCAGAAGGUGUGGAUGUUCUGGUCUCAGGAAAUCUGCUGGCAGUUAAUGAUUGAUCAACAGGUGGCACAUGGUUGAACUGAGAUGAAAGUACACCUUCCGUGGGCUGCUGCAAUGGCAUUGAUAGAGGAACAGACUGAAGGGAUGAGGCAGGAAUAUGCGACCAACGUGCUUGGACUGACAUAUCAGGAGAGGACUACACCAGAAUUUCAACUUCAAGUAUCAGUGAUGUUGUAGAACUAAAUUUAAGUGACUCAGGUGUAUAAAAGUUCAUCAUUUAUUAGAGUAAGCUUUCUUACACUUUUUCUCUAACUUAAUAUAGAAUAAAGGAGUUUAUGAAUGGGAGGAGAGAACCUUCUCGAAAUUAAAUGCUACAUAAAGGGUUUUUAAAUUGGCUUUUUUUUUGUGUGGUUAAAGGUGCUUAAAGCCGUUUCUGGCUACAAAAGAAGCCAUAAGAUGUGUGUCAAGGUGCUAAAAGCUCGAGCUUUUAGCCCCAGGAAAAGAAGGUGGUCCUAGGAGCUCUUUUUCUUUUGGGGGAGCUUUUUAGCAAGUAACUUUAAGAACCUUUGACCAAAUUCUUCUAACUAAUACAGCGCUUCUGAAAAUACUAAGUUCCGAGCAUAAUCCAACAAAAACUUCUCCUAGCUUCCUCUUCCCAGAAAAUUAUUAAAAAAAAAAAAAAAAAUUGGGGGCUGCAGCCAAAUUAAAAAUGACAAUUAACAAAAUAUAAUAUAGUUUUUUAUGGCAAAUUCAAUUAAAUAUCUAAUAAAUAUAAAAUUUAAUUAAAUACCUUAAGUAAAUUUGAUUAAGUAUCUCAACAAAUAUGUGAAAAAGUUGGAAUUCUUAAGCUAAUAAAGAUUAUAAUUAUUUUAAGCUUUCUUUGGUGUAAAAAAUUACAAAGAUAAUUUGAAUUAAAAAAGCAAGUAACUGUCCUUUUUAGUCAUUUAACUAAGAAUUUAACUUAAAACUCAUGACUUAUCAAACACUUAAUAAUUUUUUAAAAGUUUAAUAGCCCCCCCCCAAAAAAAAAAUAGAUAAUCUACAUAUUUUUUGAAUUUAAAAAAAGUACGAGCUCGAAAUCCUUUGACUGAGAGCUAUAUGAACUUUAAAGCAAAAAAAGAAUGGACAGCCUCACUAACUAUUAAAUUUUGACAAGAUUCUUAACUUUGAUGUUCUACCUGACAAGGCAUCAAUGUCUCAGAAAGGAUUAUUUAAAUCUGAACUCAUAAAAUCCUCAUUCUCUACUUACAUCCCAACUAGCCAACCUCACAAGGCACAAGAAAGUGCUUCACCUGACACCAUUUUAUCAGAGGAAGGAAGAAGAAAGGGAGAGGAAAAGACAGUAAACAUAUUACAUGUUCUCCUUCCAAUGAAUUCUUUGCUUUGUAAACUUUUCAAUUAGCUAUAGAUAAACAUGAGAUCUGAGCCAUAGGGUGCUUUCUUUCAAACUUUUCUCCACUGCCCCCACAACAAAAGAUAAAAACAAAGGGUGGUCUCCUAUAAACAUGUCACUGGCAUACAACAUUUAGUUUCACAUUUGUAAUACUAGUUUCUAGCAUGGUUCAUGCAAAUAUACCGGUAUGCUUGUGGCGUGCAAAAUUUCCUGGUAAGGUGUUUAAAGAAGUCCCAAAACCCACAAUGAAGAUAUUAGUUAAUAAGCCCCCACUGGUAAACAAAAAGAGAACACAAUGACCACAAUUUGGUAAUCAAGUAAGCUUGACAUUUCGAGUUCAACACUCAAAUAUUUACCUGGAAUGGGGACAUAUCAAACACGGCCAGAGGUGAUGCUAUUGGCAGGAGAGGAGACCCAGGAGCAAGAUGUUGUACUGGAGUAGGCAUGUUGGUAGGGUUUCGCGGGGUUCGAAGUGAUAUUCAAACUGUGAUUGUCUCCUUCACCACCACCCAUGGCAGAAGACACAGGGUUGUGCUUCCAAUCAGGCUGCUUUCCAGAUGGAAUAUAAGCUGUACCCAUGAAGCUCAAGCCAACUUGUCCAAACUGUCCAACUGGUGCAAAAUGGUUAUAGACAACCAUGUGUGGAGGUCCUUGAACCCCGGGAAUACUUCCAGGCGGACUGAUGAAAGGACCAGUGAAUCCUGCUGGAGGGCCAUAAAAUGAAUCUACACCAGAAUGACACUGUUGCCAGGCACCAAGUGGACCUGAAACUGCUGCACUACUCUUCUGGGGUUGUGAUUGGGUAGACGACGACUCAUCAUGAGGCCCGAAUGCAAAGAUUGGGCCCCCCAACAUGGGAUUCAUCUCGUAAAAGGGGAAAUGGGAAGGUGGGCCUCCAGGAAAAUGAGAAAUCAUCUGGCUAGGAGAAUUCUGGGGACUUGGCAAAGGUUGCCAUAAGGAAAUUGGGGGUGUCUCAACAGAAAGGUCUGCUGGAAGGGCUACACUAAGAGGCUCUUCAGCCCUUGACUGAUUAGCUUGGUCACCAGCUACACCUGCAAAAGUGGAUAAAAUCAUCUGAACAUGGUAUGCACCACAUAAAUAUCAAUAUAAAAAGAUGUAAAACUCACUAGUAUGGCAACAAAAAGUUUGUUUCACCAGGUGCCAUACCAUCUAAAUCUGCACCUCCGAAACUUUUGGUAUCUGCAACUGAGGUGGAUAAAACACCCAUUCCAUUCCCAGCAAUAUCAUCACUUGUUAUAGCUGCAACAGCUACAGCUGAAGCAGCUGCUUCUGCUUCUGCUUCACAAUCUUCCAUUGGAACAUAAGGCUCACUGGAGCAUUUCUCUUUCUCAAAGAAAAGAGAGCAGUCAUUUUCAGCAGCAGAGUGAGUACGGGAAAUUUGAAGGUCUGGCCGACAAGGACCUGGAGGACCUAUACCAUGUGAAACAGCACGACUGCAAUGAGGAAGAAUGGUUGGAGAUGUCACAGCGCCUGAAAUACACAAAAAAUGGCAAUAGAUUUAGUUGCACAUUAAUAAAGACAAGCAAAUCCCUCUAAUACCUAGACCUUCUGAGACUCUAAGAAUCUCUUAAAUUAAAUGGAAAGAAUAUAUAUGCCCACCAAAUUGAAUUUUCUCUCCAGCAAGCAACGAGUUUACUGGGCUUGUAGCAGAUGAAAAUGACUUGUCCUUUGGCAAGAUAGAUGAUGAUGGCAUGCUAGCUUCAUUAACUGAGGUAGGGUGAUCUCCAACAGUAGCACGAGAAUCAAAUUGUACAGGUUUCAUAGCCUCAUCAAGUUGGGUUUGUGUAAGUGCCAUAACCUACCAAAUAUAACCAACAGUCUUUCGGAUUCAUACAAAUUUACUGACAGAACAUAAGAAGACAUGAAGAAACUAACAUAAAUGAACUAAUAGCCAUAGGCACAAGAUUUAGCAGCUCUGCAUACUCCACAAACUCAUCAAUGCGCAACAUAAGCACAUCUAAGCAACAAGGAUUUGCAAAGCCCACCUGACCUCAUAUAAAUAAUUGAAUGCAAGCUGAGGCGAUAUCAGUCUACCCAGCAAAGUAUAUGUAUGCAUUUGCUAACAUAUAGAUGCUGGGAAUACUAUGCCUAAACCAAAACUAUUAAGAAAAAUAGAAAGGAGAACAAAGGCCAACAAUCCACACUAAAACCUUUAAAUCAUAUCAAUAACCUACUAAGCUUGACAGAAGCCCCACAUGUAAGUGCACGUAAGGCAGCAACAUGAGUAGAAACCAGACUCACAUGAGAAAUGCCUUGGUAAGACAGAUCAGAUUCAUGCCAUACAAGGAGAGGAAAAGUAGUUGCAUAGAAGUAGCAGAUACUCCAACAUUAAAAGUUGGUGUAUGGUAAACAAUUUGACUCACCUGUUGAUUAAUCCGUUGAUUACUCCAAGACCCCAAAGAAGUCUGAACAUUAUCAAGUACUUUGUUCUUAGUCUCAAAUAUGAAACUUGAAGCAAGAUUCUUCCCACCACCUGACACAGCUGGGAGGGAGCUCAAUUGAAUGGACCUGUAGAAAAAAAAAUGAUAGCAUUUACAUAUUGAUAUGCAGAUAUUUUGGAAAUGUGAAACUUCAUCAAGCAACAGAACAUACUUGACUGACUGGGAUCUCAUAUCUGCCUUGACAUCAGCCUUCACAGCAGGAGUGCCAAUUGGUGCCAAUGGUUGUGAUACUAUAGGGGUAGUAAAUCCUGUGGAUGCUUCUUUGUUUGCUACAUUCUGCCUUUCAGCAGUAACAAAAUCAGUCUGUAUGUUGCUGUUUGCUGCUUCUCCACCCAAAGAUGUGGAAAUUUUAUUUGAACUCGCUGAGACAGCAGCACUUUGUGACCUUGAGCGGGGCUUUCGUGGAAUCUGGUAAAAAUAUAAAAAGUGUUAAUGACGUAUUCUAAAAUGCAAUAGAAAGCACAGCAAGAGAUUAAAGUUUGAAAGGCACCAGAACCUUAGUGACCCGAGACUUAGCCUUGAUUUCUUUUUCCCUCUGUUCACGGCGAUCAUUUAACAUUUGCCUUUUUGACCUUACCUCAAUGAAGUCAUCCUCAUCACUGGGAGCCUCUAUACCAGGUUGCUCAAAAAUACGCACUACCCCACUUUGUAACGGAGCAUCGACAUCCUCUUCAGAAUGAAGAUUCCUCUUAAGGUUAACCUCACCCGAGUUAGAAAUGUUCUGACUCUUUACCAAUGAUUCUCUGCCAGUUCCCUUUUCAAGCUUGCUUCCAGAAUCCAUUUCCUGUAAGCUAACUGGACCAGAACCUGAUCCGUCUGAUUCAGCUAUUGAUUUCAAUGACUUAUUUGGUAAGACAACCUUCCUAGCCAUGUUUCUCAUGGAUGAUUCUGUUCCCCUUCCACUUGAAUUUAAUUUAUCAUCCACAACAAGUUGGUUGGACGAAAGCUGUUGCCUCUUCUCUUGGGUGUCCCGAACUCUAAAUUCUGUUCGCUGUCGCCGAUGUCUCCUCUGGUAACCAUUAGAUUCAGAAUGAGAAUUAUCAGAUUGAACAUUUGACGAUCUUGAGCUAGAACUCUUUGCCGUAAAAACAUAUCUCUUGCCUCUACCACCAUAUACUUGGCCCUGAGACUUUGGCCUGUUGGUAUCUUUUCCUUUUGAAACCGACUGAGAUGACACUGCAAUACUUUGAAGGGAGCUUUCUGAUUCUCUAGUAGACAACGAUUUGAAGUUCCUCCCAGCCAAAUUCUGGUGCACCUGACUCUCUCCCUGGAAACUGGAGUCAAAUUGUAUAUUUUUGUCAUUACUAUUAGAAAUUUCAGCUUGACUCUGUUGCAUUGUAACUGUCUCUGCCUUUUCUCUGGCAGGCAAUGGAUUUAUCUCUUUUGAUAUAUUCUCAUGGGAAUGAUCCAAAGACCUUGGUAUGAUGCUGGCUUGAUUAUCCGAAAUUGGAAGAGCAUCAUUUCUUACCAGAUUAUUAGUCAAAGUUUCUUGAGCAGGCUGAAUAGGCAGAGAUACUCCAUGGUUCUGGUUCAAAGAAAAACUGGAUGGAAUAUUUGGCGGGACAAAAGACAUAGAUUGCGGAGGCAAUGGCAAUACUCCUUGGGAAAUAGAAGAUGUAUACGUCAACUGACCUAACUGGAAGAUGGGAGGCUGUGAUCUGUGCAUGUGGGUCAGUGACUGGCCAACCUGAGGAUGUAGAUGAAGAGGCAUCUGUAUAGAACCAAUUUGUAUGGCUGGAAUAGGAGAUGGUAUCAAAGAAGGGCCAGAGAAUAACCCGAACUGAAGCUUAACGGGCACCUCAGUUUGACUUUGAACAGCAGAAGAUGGAAUCAUAUGUUGAGUAGAUAGAGCAGAGCUAUUAGAAGCAUCCACAUUAUUUGCCAGCUCAGAGGUUGUUGACAAUUGCGGAGCAUUAUUAAUUUGAAUAACCAAAUCCUCGAUAGAAUUCUCAGUUUCCUGGAAGAUCCUUGAAGAACUCUCAGCGCUCACUUGGGAAGGGAUGUCGAUGGAUUGAAGGUUUGACCAUCACUGCUUAUACCCUCAAAGAUCCCUGUCCUUCUCCGCUGCCAGCAGAAAGAUGGGGAACCACAAACCCAGUUUCUUCAUUUCUUGAACUUCUCUCAAACUCAUCUUUUGGCAUCCCAACCUGAACACCUUCAUUGAAGCCCAAGACCAGGUUAUCAAUCAAGUGGGGUGAUCCUUUCUCAUUGAGAUGCAUUUCUUCAAACUCCUGGGUUAGAUCAAUAUUCUCAUCAUCACCAUCAUGCACUUCAUCUUCUUCCUGAUACGCUUCUUCAUCCUCAUCAUAUUCUUCUUGCUCCUGCAACUGUUCAUUGUCAUCGAGAGACCAUUCCUCGUCAUCACCGGAAGAAAUAGAACCUGAAGCACCUAUAAUAUUCUCAUUGCCAACUUCUGUGGGUAAAACAUCAGGCUCACUACCCUGCCCUGCUAAUGUAUCAUCUUUUCGUUCCCCAGCAGCAGAUAACACAGGAGAAUCUCCAGACUCAUCCAAAUCAUCAUGAGAAAGAUGAAUUGGAGAAUUAGGUGGGCUUGAAACAGAUAGUGAAGAUUGUGAGUCACACCUUGCAGCAGGAUUCCUAUCAAGUUUCUGCUCCUGAAUCUUAUUAUUCUCCUGCACAUCUACUAUUCCAGGCUGACCAACAUUAUCCUGACGACCACUAUCAUGACCUGUCUGUACGAUAGAUUCACUCCCUGCUGAAUGGUCAUACUGCAUCUCAGCGUCUAGGAAGGCUGACGGACCAGGACGCUCAGUCUCACCCCUGUAGGAGGCUUUCUGCAUGGAAGCCAGGGACGGUGGGGGAGGUACACGAGGCUGCCUUACUGAAUACCUUGGUCUCCCAAAAGAAUAAUACCCAUCUCCCUCAGAGUUCUGGUACAGUCUUUCAGCAUAUGGAGAAUAUGGAUUAACUCGAGGACGACCUUGGCCCUGUCCCCAUCCCAUAUCACCAUACUGUUCAGCCAGAUUCUCAUGAUAUUCAGAUUCAAUCUCAAAAUUCCUGAUAUAUUGAUCGCCGUCACCAGAAAUGUUCCAUCUCUGACCUCUAAGAUGAGAAAAUUCAUCUAUAUGCUCAGGAAACCCUGCUUUAUAGUAAGACCUAGAAGAUGCAAAUCCAGUUGUUCCGUAGAACUCUUUCCUACUAAAUAUUCUGCUCCCAACAGAUGCAUCUCGCUGAAGAUUAUGGUGACCAUUCUCUGGAUCUUGCCCAAUGAAGUUUGAGUUGUUUGCAUUCUCAAAUGCAUCCCGUCUCCAUGAACUAACAGACUUUCCUCUAUCCAGGAAAGCGGAAGAACCAUCUCUUGGAAACUGGUGCCUAGAACUUAUAUCAAAGGAUCUAUUCAGGGUAGAGGAAUCAGACGAUGCUGAAGUGGUAAUUCUCUCCACCAUCCUUUCACCAUCUUCCCAUUCACCCACAUCUGCCACUUUUGAAGUGUCUCUUUCAUUCACCAACCCUGAAAUUUUCUCAUCCACAGAAGCAGAAGAGUUACUGCCACCCUUUGCCGCUUCAGCCUGCCUCUUAGCAAUCCUUUCUUCCAGUUCUAAAAGCUUUUGCUUAGCAGCCUGCUUCCUCCUCUCUUCCUCUAUAAGAAUUCUGCAUUUCUCUUCUUCUCUAGCUAUUCUCUGUUGUUCUGCCUUCCUUAUGGCUUCCAAUCGUUCUUGCUCAGCUCUCCAUGCAGCUUCUCUGGCUUCUUCUUCUAGCCUCCUUUGUCGCUCUUCUUGUUCCCGUGCCAACCGCAGUUUCUCCUCUUCUUCUCUGCGAGCUAGCUCCAGAGCUUUUUCCUGCUCUUCAAUUAUCCGCUGUCGCUCCUCUUCCUGCAUCUUCUGUACUCUUUCAAGCUCAGCCUCAAAUGAUUCUCUAACAGGAUCGUGGAAAUCAGACUGCUUAAGCACAUCUUUCUUCUUCUUAACCACUCCAACAAGACUCCCAGAAAAUGGAUCUCGUCCAUCAAAACCACUAAACCCCAAGUCCUUCAUAAAGUGAUCCACAAAAUAAGGCUUCUCACUCUUAGAUAAAGAGCGUUUCUCCCUACCAAGACUGAGUAUGGGAUCAUUAACUGAAAGCCCCUUACCACCAAAUGAAAAUGAUGAUUUGGGCAUAGAGCUGUUCUGGGAAGCAUCAACUCUGUACCUGUUGUUUUGUUCGCCACUAUAUCGAUCUCUUGCAUUUCGGUCGGCUCCUCGGCUGCUAAAUGAAUCGGCCGUGUUAGUCCAAGGCUGUCUCCCUUCAUGCCCAUAAACCAUGUCCCUUUUUCCGAAAUCAUCAUGAAUAUUGUCCCGAAAAGGUGAUGGAGUGUAUCUAGUUUGCCUGAUUGGUUCCCUGUGUGUGCUAGGAGACCUUGCACCUAUGCCAUUUCUGUCAUUGCCAACCUCUUGAGCACUGAAUCUAUCUCUUGGAAUGGGAGAAGAAGCUCUCCAUGAGUUCCCCUCCCGUCCUUCACUUGGUGUUCUUAUAUCUCUAGUGUGAAGGUCUGCUUUACUGACUUCACUGGAAGAAAUUUUUCCAGUUUCAUUGUCACGCUGGGACCGCUUUUCAGGAAGAUUAUGAGCUGGUUUGUGUGGCAAAAUACUAGCUCUAGGCAUAUCAAAAUCUCCAUCCCAAAAAGCUUCAUUCUUUGAAUAUCCAUGGUCUCUUCCCUUGUCCGUCAAGCCGUGACCAGUGUCACGCUCAUCAUCAGCCCAAUCAGACCUGGGAUUCAAACGAACCAGGGGGAAUGGCCCAGGAAAAUACUCCUCCUGCUUCCUAGCUUGGGCCGAUCCACGAGAACCAUCAGAACCAUGACUUUCACCAGCAUUCUCACCAAAGCCACUUCUAAUACUAUAUCGUCCAGAUUGCAAUUGUGGUCGCAUGUCAACAAGUGAGUUCAGACGAUGACCAUCCCUCUGCUCAUUAAAUGACUCUUCACUUGCCACUUGCUUCUGUUUCUGAUUCAAACCUUCCUUCUGUUUUUGCGCAGGCCCAGUCGAUACAGGCAGAGAAGCCUGCAGGGAAGGAAAAUCCUCACCCCUCAAGACAGCAACCUUUUCCACAGUAGGAAAUGGUCGAUCAGAAGCAGUAGCAGAAGGCCCCCCCACACCCAACCGAGCUGAAGGCGGCAUAUACACACCACUACUCCCCUUACUCGCCCCAUCAACACCUUGCAAAGUCUGNNNNNNNNNNNNNNNNNNNNNNNNNNNNNNNNNNNNNNNNNNNNNNNNNNNNNNNNNNNNNNNNNNNNNNNNNNNNNNNNNNNNNNNNNNNNNNNNNNNNNNNNNNNNNNNNNNNNNNNNNNNNNNNNNNNNNNNNNNNNNNNNNNNNNNNNNNNNNNNNNNNNNNNNNNNNNNNNNNNNNNNNNNNNNNNNNNNNNNNNNNNNNNNNNNNNNNNNNNNNNNNNNNNNNNNNNNNNNNNNNNNNNNNNNNNNNNNNNNNNNNNNNNNNNNNNNNNNNNNNNNNNNNNNNNNNNNNNNNNNNNNNNNNNNNNNNNNNNNNNNNNNNNNNNNNNNNNUCUCCACCGCCACCUCCAUUGGCUGGAGGAUCGGGCCCGAGUAGAGCCGUAUGAACUCGAAUAAGAUGUGUGAUUGUGAUGGUGAUGGGAUGAUUGGCCAUAUGAUUUGUUGAGAUUCACAGAGAGAAACUUGGUCCCGACUCCGGGAUUGGCCAUCUCAAGCUCUGACCCAGACUAUCAACCCGUUAGCGGAUUCGGAUCGCCGCCAACGCAUCAAAACCUUAACCCUAACUUAUGUUUAUUAACCGGUUACCUUUCCUCUUCUUACAGAUCUCUCACACAGGAGUGAUGACGAAAUGGAAUCGAAACCAAGAAUCUCCCUGAUCAAGACAGAAAGCUUAAUAAUCAAUUCCAGAGUCCAGUUACCGUAACUGACAAACUAAAAUUAGAAAGAAAUAUUAUUAUUGUUGGCCGUAUUAGGGUUUCGUAAUGGUGCAAUUAGCCACAGGAGGAAAAAAGAUCAAACUGGAAAAGGAUUUGAGAGUGCGUAAUAAAAAAAAGAAACUUACCUCCGGGAUAAGGACAGGGACGGCGGUAGCUAACGUGCGCCGCGGGAGAACCAGUAUAAGAUAAGCGUUAGAAAGGAAGCCCUACUACCCUGACUCCAACCGGAGAGAAACGAGAGACAGGCACGGGAGGAAAAUAAGGACGAAUUUUUCGUCUUCCUCGUGUUUUAUUUUAUUUUAUUUAAAUUAAAAAAA